rnacentral:lncRNA from 1 species
UCUCAGGCAAUCUCGUCAGGCUUUCACAGAUAUCAACACGGAGCCAUCCCAGAGUGAGCAGAUCAUCUGGGAUGAUCCUACAGCAAGAGAGGAAAGAGCAAGACUUGUCAGCAACUUCCAGUGGCCUAACAGUCCUUCCCAGUACACAGAGCAAGCUCAGAGUAACGUCAAUAGGAACACGGAUGAGUCUACCUUCAAAGGAUCCAUAGCUGAUGCAGAGAUUGCUGGUAUAGUUGUUCCUGAGGCUGGGGAUGGAGAUACGAUUGAAGGUCUGAAGAAUCCUGUAUGUAGAGAUCCUGAAACACCCAUUAAAGAUCACUUGAUCCCCACUCCACAGGCUCCCAGCAUUGCAUUCCCACUGGCUAACCCUCCUGUGGCACCACAGCCCAAAGAAAAGGUUUGACAUUUGAAGAAAUGCUCGUGAUUGUAUGUGUUCUAAAAGUGUAGCUAUACUUUAAGGGCUGCUCUGAAAGUUAUGCCUCUUGUGUUAUUAUGUUCACCCAUGACAUCAGAGGCAGAUGUCGAUGGUAUGGCAGUAGAGGUUAAAUGUUCCCAACAGUAUUCCAUUACAUGUUGUUGCUGUGGGACAGAUGGCAGCAGGGGGGCAGUCUGAC